GCUCAGCAUAGAUUUGCUUAUUCUGUGUCUUUUGUGGUUUCAUUGAGCUUCUGCAAAACAGCUAGUUUGAAUUUUCUAUCUGAAAGGUCACCUAUCUCUGUAACUUUGAGAUUGGUAAUUGUACUUUAUUUAGUUUGUUUGGCGAAGUCAUGUUUUCUUGGAUGGUCUUAAUGCUUGUGAUGUUUGUUGACGUCUGGGCAUUAAAAGUUAAGUAUUGUAGGUCUUUCCAGUGUGAGUUUGUUUGUAUCUAUACUUCUUGGGAAGGCUUUCUGAGUUUUCAAAAGGAAUUGAGUGUUGUGAUCUAAAUUAUUGGUCACUGAGGCCAUAUAUUCAUUAGUGGGCACCGCGAGCCCAGUAACAUUAUAGCUCUUUCAGACUUGUAGAGGUACUACUUUGGUGCACCUGGGUAAGAUCCAAGAAAAUUUCUCGGAUUACCAGGCAGAGACUGUUGUUCUCUUCCCUUAUUUUCCUCCAGAAUACUGGAACCUCUCUCUUUGUGCUGAGCUGCCUGGAACUUGGGGAAGGAUUACACAAGCACCCCUCUGGCCACCACCACCAGGACUAUACCGGAAGAAGUCUCUCCCUGUGGCCACCACCACGUGACACCUAUGCACACAGAUUCUGUCUCCACACCAUGGGGUCACCGUUGCAGGAUUGGGGAGGAGUGAUGUCAGCAAUUCAAGACUGCCUUUUCUACCCUCUUCAGUGUCUCUUUCCUUGAUAUGAUGUUUAAACCAGGUACUCUGAUUGCUCAUCUGAUUUUUGGUUCUUAUGAAGGCUGCUUUCUUAUAUGGAUAGUUGUUUAAUUUGGUGUUCUUUUUGGGAGGAUGAUUGCUGGAGAGUUUUCCAUUUAGCUCUGCUUCUGCCUGUUACUAUUGUCUCAAUUUAAGCAACCUUAACAUGAGGGGGUUAAGAAGAGAGAGCGAGAAGAGACAGAGAAAUAAUAGAGGUGAUUUCAUCAUUCUAUUCAGUGUGUCUAUGACCUCAAAGUAAGUGUGAGAGGGAAGGUGUGAGCUGUUGUUCUUCCUCAGGUGCUCUCAGUUCUUUCAUGCUUCUCAUAGAAUGAGAUCAUAAUGUGAAAUUGUGAUUCAAACGUUCAUCAUUUAUUGGAUGUUAAACC